rnacentral:rRNA from 1 species
UACGUAGGGUGCAAGCGUUGUCCGGAAUUAUUGGGCGUAAAGAGCUCGUAGGCGGUCUGUCGCGUCUGCUGUGAAAAUCCAGGGCUCAACCCUGGACCUGCAGUGGGUACGGGCAGACUAGAGUGCGGUAGGGGAGAUCGGAAUUCCUGGUGUAGCGGUGAAAUGCGCAGAUAUCAUCAGGAACACCGGAGGCGAAAGCGGUCCACUGGGUCCUUUCUGACGCUGAGGGACGAAAGCUAGGGGAGCGAACGGG